rnacentral:tRNA from 1 species
GGAGAGGUGCCGGAGUGGUUGAACGGGCUCGUCUCGAAAAUGAGUAUAGCCGCAAGGCUAUCGAGGGUUCGAAUCCCUCCCUCUCCG